rnacentral:rRNA from 1 species
UACGGAGGGGGCUAGCGUUGUUCGGAAUUACUGGGCGUAAAGCGCACGUAGGCGGCUUUGUAAGUUAGAGGUGAAGGCCCGGGGCUCAACCCCGGAACUGCCUUUAAGACUGCAUCGCUUGAAUCCAGGAGAGGUGAGUGGAAUUCCGAGUGUAGAGGUGAAAUUCGUAGAUAUUCGGAAGAACACCAGUGGCGAAGGCGGCUCACUGGCCUGGUAUUGACGCUGAGGUGCGAAAGCGUGGGGAGCAAACAGG